UGAACAACCUGCCCGAGCGAGGGGGAUAGCCGGCCCAACGGCCGGGUAAUACCGCAUAUGCUCACGGUGCCUUAUGGCGCAGUGAGGAAACCUUCGGGGCGCUCGGAGGGGUUCGCGACCUAUCAGCUAGUUGGUGGGGUAACGGCCUACCAAGGCGACGACGGGUAGCUGGUCUGAGAGGAUGGCCAGCCACAUUGGGACUGAGACACGGCCCAGACUCCUACGGGAGGCAGCAGUGGGG
rnacentral:rRNA from 1 species